AGUUUAAUUCCUGUUAUUGAUAGGUUUAAGCCUACUAUCAUGCUAUUUGUUCCAUCUCUAUCUGUGCUCUUUUUAAUUCUUAUUUUUGUUUUUUAGCCAUUAAUAGUUUUCUACUAUCCUUUUUGGCAGUAUAUUAAUGAGUACCUUAUAAUUUUUUUUAAUGCAUCUUUGAUCUAUUAUAUUCUUGAUUUAGUAUAUGUAUCACAUGCUGGCAGUGCAGGAAACACUUU